AGAGUUUGAUCCUGGCUCAGGAUGAACGCUAGCUACAGGCUUAACACAUGCAAGUCGAGGGGCAGCAUGGUCUUAGCUUGCUAAGGCUGAUGGCGACCGGCGCACGGGUGAGUAACACGUAUCCAACCUGCCGUCUACUCUUGGCCAGCCUUCUGAAAGGAAGAUUAAUCCAGGAUGGGAUCAUGAGUUCACAUGUCCGCAUGAUUAAAGGUAUUUUCCGGUAGACGAUGGGGAUGCGUUCCAUUAGAUAGUAGGCGGGGUAACGGCCCACCUAGUCAACGAUGGAUAGGGGUUCUGAGAGGAAGGUCCCCCACAUUGGAACUGAGACACGGUCCAAACUCCUACGGGAGGCAGCAGUGAGGAAUAUUGGUCAAUGGACGAGAGUCUGAACCAGCCAAGUAGCGUGAAGGAUGACUGCCCUAUGGGUUGUAAACUUCUUUUAUAAAGGAAUAAAGUCGGGUAUGCAUACCCGUUUGCAUGUACUUUAUGAAUAAGGAUCGGCUAACUCCGUGCCAGCAGCCGCGGUAAUACGGAGGAUCCGAGCGUUAUCCGGAUUUAUUGGGUUUAAAGGGAGCGUAGAUGGGUUGUUAAGUCAGUUGUGAAAGUUUGCGGCUCAACCGUAAAAUUGCAAUUGAUACUGGCAGUCUUGAGUACAGUUGAGGUAGGCGGAAUUCGUGGUGUAGCGGUGAAAUGCUUAGAUAUCACGAAGAACUCCGAUUGCGAAGGCAGCUCACUGGACUGCAACUGACAUUGAUGCUCGAAAGUGUGGGUAUCAAACAGGAUUAGAUACCCUGGUAGUCCACACGGUAAACGAUGAAUACUCGCUGUUGGCGAUAUACAGUCAGCGGCCAAGCGAAAGCAUUAAGUAUUCCACCUGGGGAGUACGCCGGCAACGGUGAAACUCAAAGGAAUUGACGGGGGCCCGCACAAGCGGAGGAACAUGUGGUUUAAUUCGAUGAUACGCGAGGAACCUUACCCGGGCUUGAAUUGCAGAGGAAGGAUUUGGAGACAAUGACGCCCUUCGGGGUCUCUGUGAAGGUGCUGCAUGGUUGUCGUCAGCUCGUGCCGUGAGGUGUCGGCUUAAGUGCCAUAACGAGCGCAACCCUUGUU
rnacentral:rRNA from 1 species